rnacentral:rRNA from 1 species
UACAGAGGUCCCAAGCGUUGUUCGGAUUCACUGGGUUUAAAGGGUGCGUAGGUGGGUUGGUACGUCAGUGGUGAAAUCUCCGUGCUUAACAUGGAAACUGCCAUUGAUACUACUGAUCUUGAAUUUUCUGGAGGUAAGCGGAAUAUGUCAUGUAGCGGUGAAAUGCUUAGAUAUGACAUAGAACACCAAUUGCGAAGGCGGCUUGCUAAACAAAUAUUGACGCUGAGGCACGAAAGCGUGGGGAUCAAACAGG